CCUACGGGGUGCAGCAGUGGGGAAUAUUGCGCAAUGGGCGAAAGCCUGACGCAGCGACGCCGCGUGAGGGAUGAAGGUCUUCGGAUCGUAAACCUCUGUCAGCAGGGAAGAACGGUCACUGUGCUAAUCAGCAGUGAAUUGACGAUACCUGCAAAGGAAGCACCGGCUAACUCCGUGCCAGCAGCCGCGGUAAUACGGAGGGUGCGAGCGUUAAUCGGAAUUACUGGGCGUAAAGCGCUCGUAGGCGGUAUGUCAAGUCAAGGGUGAAAUCCCCGCGCUCAACGUGGGAACUGCCUUUGAAACUGGCAGACUGGAGUGUGUGAGAGGAUAGUGGAAUUCCAGGUGUAGGAGUGAAAUCCGUAGAUAUCUGGAGGAACAUCAGUGGCGAAGGCGACUAUCUGGCACAUAACUGACGCUGAGGAGCGAAAGCGUGGGUAGCAAACAGGAUUAGAUACCCUUGUAGUC
rnacentral:rRNA from 1 species